AACAUUGGAUAACAAAAUGUUAUUUUAUGAAAACAUUCAAAGGUACAGGAGGAGUGGAAGAGAAGAAACGGAGACCAAGAAACCUACAUUGAAACUAACGCUCACUGCCAACUAAUCCCAAAACAAGAAUACACCCUCUACACUGAUCUUACAGAUGAACAUCAAAUAAGACCAAAGGUGAUAUCUGAUAUGAGAAUGUAUUUGCACAUUAAUAUUAUAUCACUGACAGACUGUAUUUUACACCAGGAUGCAGCCUUUGUGGAUUUCGAAUCCUAUGAAAACUACAUCCCAACAUUUCAGUUGUUCUUACAAACUGUUGUUGAACAAGUUGAUCUUCUCCUGAAAGAAAAUGAUGGUGCAGAGUCUGUGUGGGGUAGACUUGUCUGGCUUUCAGUUUCAACAACAGAAAUCAUCUCUACAGAUAGUGUUUUCCCUCUCUCAGCAUCCGGCCCUCGCCCUGUAGCCCCUCCUGCCAAUCCUCCUACUCUCUCGGGAGAGGACUUCAUGACAAAACACAGAGUGAAACUGGAGGAACGCAUGGGUGAAUUGCAGCCCACACUCCUCAAGCUUCAGGACUGAACGAUGUGGAGCGCUGAGAAGAUUGACAACGUAAGUUCACGGAUCCAGAGGAACAAGGCCCUUCUGGACAUGAUUAUAAGGAAGGGACCUCGUGCCCAGGAACAGCUCUACCGGGCCCUAAAAAAAGAGGACCCUUACCUGGUGGAACACCUGGAAGAGGAGGAGACAUCCUGACCAUAGAUUUGUGUGUAAGGUUAUCCAACAGUUGUGCCAAAAAUGACUACAACAUGUAUAUGGACCAAGAGCCUAGAGAUCAGGACAGUCUUGCUACACAGGUUCACUGGCUGCAAACAGCAAGCUUCAGGAAUUUGCUAUUUAAUGGCGUUAUAUAUGUUUUAAACUCUGUA